rnacentral:lncRNA from 10 species
GGCGCGAUGAGGUUCCGGUUCUGUGGUGAUCUGGACUGUCCCGACUGGGUCCUGGCAGAAAUCAGCACGCUGGCCAAGAUGGUUGAGUGCACAGGGUCUAGUCUGGGUGGAGGAGGGGUGUUGGGGGUGGGGAUUGUGGGUGUAGAGGAUGGUGAGGUUUCUCUGGGGCUAGGGCCUCAGUGCUCUCAGCCUGUGCUACCAUGCUUUGUGACCUUGAUCAGUGGCUGGCCUGCUCUGAGCCAGUCCCCAGGAAGGAGGGGUGAGGUUUGCCAGCCUGGCUGAUGUAAGGACUUCCCUUCCAGUCCUCUGUGAAGUUGCGGCUGCUCUGCAGCCAGGUACUAAAGGAGCUGCUGGGACAGGGGAUUGAUUAUGAGAAGAUCCUGAAGCUCACGGCUGACGCCAAGUUUGAGUCAGGCGAUGUGAAGGCCACAGUGGCAGUGCUGAGUUUCAUCCUCUCCAGUGCGGCCAAGCACAGUGUCGAUGGCGAAUCCUUGUCCAGUGAACUGCAGCAGCUGGGGCUGCCCAAAGGUACGGGUUGUGGGUGGGCAGCUGGGCAGCCUGUGGGCCAAGGGCUGCUAGAGAAGGGGACAGGCCCUGUGACCCUGAGGUGUACCUGCCCUGUCUGGGCCAGGAGCCCAAGCCAGGCCCCGACAUGCUACCUCCAGAGCUACUCCAUUCUACCCCCAGAGCACGCGGCCAGCCUGUGCCGCUGUUAUGAGGAGAAGCAAAGCCCCUUGCAGAAGCACUUGCGGGUCUGCAGCCUACGCAGUAAGUAUGAGGCCAGCCAGGGUCCGGGCUCAUUCUAGAAGGUGCACGCAGCACACAAAGUGCAUGGAGAGUCCAGGGAGACGACUUAACCACGGUCACAUGGUUACUAGCAGCCGUAGAGCUGGGACCUGGCCCUGGGUCUCCUGACUCCCCACAAGGUUUCUUGUCACUGAGGUCUGCUGUGGGUGAUCAGAACUGAUUAUCGGGC